rnacentral:rRNA from 1 species
AGAACAACAGGGAUUGCCCCAGUAACGGCGAGUGAAGCGGCAACAGCUCAAAUUUGAAAUCUGGCCUCGGCCCGAGUUGUAAUUUGCAGAGGAUGUUUCUGGCGCGGUGCCUUCUGAGUUCCCUGGAACGGGACGCCAUAGAGGGUGAGAGCCCCGUACGGUUGGACGCCUAGCCUGUGUGAAACUCCUUCGACGAGUCGAGUAGUUUGGGAAUGCUGCUCAAAAUGGGAGGUAUAUCUCUUCUAAAGCUAAAUAUUGGCCAGAGACCGAUAGCGCACAAGUAGAGUGAUCGAAAGAUGAAAAGCACCUUGAAAAGGGGGUUAAACAGCACGUGAAAUUGUUGAAAGGGAAGCGCCCAUGACCAGACUUGUGCCCGGCGGAUCACCCAGCGUUCUCGCUGGGGCACUCCGCCGGGUCCAGGCCAGCAUCGGUUUUCGCCGGGGGAUAAAGGCUCUGGGAACGUAGCUCCUCCGGGAGUGUUAUAGCCCUCUGCGUAAUACCCUGGCGGGGACCGAGGUACGCGCUCCGCAAGGAUGCUGGCGUAAUGGUCAUCAGCGACCCGUCUUGAAACACGGAUCAAGGAGUCGUCCAUUAGAGCGAGCGUUUGGGUGUCAAACCCGCACGCGUAAUGAAAGUGAACGUAGGUGAGAGCUUCGGCGCAUCAUCGACCGAUCCUGAUGUCCUCGGAUGGAUUUGAGUAUGAGUUUUACUGGACGGACCCGAAAGAUGGUGAACUAUGCCUGUAUAGGGUGAAGCCAGAGGAAACUCUGGUGGAGGCUCGCAGCGGUUCUGACGUGCAAAUCGAUCGUCAAAUAUGGGCAUGGGGGCGAAAGACUAAUCGAACCAUC